UACGUAGGGAGCAAGCGUUUGUCCGGAAUCAUUGGGCGUAAAGCGCGCGUAGGUGGCCCAGUAAGUCCGUUCUGAAAGUCACAGGCUCAACCUGUGAAAGCGGAUGGAUACUGCUGGGCUAGAGUCCGGAAGAGGCGAGUGGAAUUCCUGGUGUAGCGGUGGAAUGCGCAGAUAUCAGGAGGAACACCAACGGCGAAGGCAGCUCGCUGGGACGGUACUGACACUAAGGCGCGAAAGCGUGGGGAGCGAACAGG
rnacentral:rRNA from 1 species